CUUCGAAUGAAGGCAGUGAUCUUGUGACCAUAAUGGCAUGGUGAAGAGGACUGAAGAGAUUCUUUCCCAGAUACCAUCACUCCAACAGAAGCUGCCUACUGUGUAUUCCACACCUCCAGCUUGAGAAAGAAACCUGAAAUAAAGAUGUUAACUGCUAAAGGAAAGUGAAGAGAUGUAACCAGUGCGAUAAGACUGAUUCUCGCUUAUCUUUACACUCCCCAUACAACAGCAACCUGGUGAGCUAUAGACGGCCACUGAAUGAGUGAUGUACACAUUUUCUCUCUUUAUGUGUCUACAAAGGAAAGACAGAUAUAAAGGACACCAGGAAUGGUUGCUCUCUGGAAUGAAAACUCGACUAGAAAUUGGCAUACAGCAUUCCAAUUAAGAAACCCAAUUGCCCAGGUUCAAAAUCUAUCUGUGCCUCCUUCUAGCUACAUAAUCUUAGCAGAGUUAUUUAAUUUAUCUUCGCUUCAGGUUCCUCAUAUGUGAAGUAGGUAAAUAGUAUUAUAAUUCAUCCACUUCCAAAUUAAAAUAAGUUCAUAUAUUUAAAAUCCUUAAAGCAGUGCCUGCUGUAGAGUAAGCAUAAUUUAAGCUCUUAUUACUACUUAGCUCACUAUGUUAUUAAGAUUUGCACCUUUAAAUAAUUAUUUAGAAUUUUCUACCUGUUUUUAAGAAGAUACUUGACUUUGCCUCACAUCCUUUUUUUUAAGAAAAUAUGACAAUAUCUGUGAAGGUGUAUUGAAGCAUAAAAGUAAUAUAAGUGAAGAUUACUAUCCUUAUAGCCACCCAUCCAAAAUAUAGCAGUUUUAAAGUUAAGACACUAUGUCUGGAAGCAUUCACUCAUUUCUUUCUUUAAGCCCAAUUUCUGCAUAUGCAAAAAGCUCACUUACAAGGUAUUAUUUUAAAUUAUCUAAAUAUGGAGCUUUCUGUAAAUCAUAAUUAUAUUCUUUUUUUAUCUAGAAAUUUGGUGUGGUAUUUCCACAGAUCUCAUCACAAUUCUCUUCCUAUUUUAGCUACUAGAAAUACUGUUAGCAUUUCUUUUUUCAAACUUUGGACAUCAGUGUUCUGAACAAUAAUAAUAGUAAAUUAUAAAGUAUCUGAUAAAGUAGCCUGGGGAUACAUUUCUUCACAUUGCAAAGGGGACUUCUAAUAUGUGAUUAAGGUUAUCUUGAGAUGUGGAGAUCAUCAUGGAUUAUCCAGGUGGGCCUAAUCUAGUCACAAAAUCCUGAAAAACAGAGACCCUUUUCCAGUGGUGGUCAGAGAGAUGUGACAGUGGAAGAAAAGACAGGAGAGAUCCAAAGUGUGAGAGGUAUUCAAUGCACCAUUGCUGGCUUAAAGGUGCAGGAAGAAGUCACGAACCAAGGAAUAAAAGCAGUCUCUAGAAACUAACACUGUACUGUACCUGACAGUGGGCAAGGAAAUGAACACUUCAUUCCUACAACCACAAGAAACUAAAUUCUGCCAAUAACCAGUUUGAGUGAAGAAAUGGAUUCUCUCCUAGAGCCUCCAAAAGGAAGCACAGUCUUACCAACAACACGAUUGUAGCCCACUGAGACCCAUUUUGGAAGUCUGACCUCUAGAACUGUAAUAUAAUACAUUUACAUGGUUUUAAGCCUUUAAGUUGAGGGCAAUUUAUUACAACAACAAUAGAACACUAAUGGUUCAACAUAUGGUAUACACUAUGUGUUUAUUCUUUUUAUUAUUUUGCUAAUUAUAUUAUUACUAAUUAGUACAACCAUGCAAUACCUAGGAGAUUUCUUGGUCCUUUAUUUGCGCACGUGUAGCUGAUCCUACCGAUUGAUUUCUGAGCUCUGCUCUAUGUCCUGGUAUUUGGAUACUCACAGAAGCAAUAAUGAACUUAAAGAAAUAAUUCUCUGAGAAGAUAAGCAGAAAUAGAAUGGUAAUUAUUAACCUUGGGACAAGUGAAUAUUUGGGGGCUUUGGGUAACUUCAGUUACCAGCCAAAGCCAGCUGUGAGCCAACAUAGAGAAAGCUAUCAUGAUUAGUUAUUUUUGAAAAUUCUAGAGGUUUCUCAAAAAUUGAAUUUCUUGAGAAACUCGGAUCCUCAAAAAAGCUAUUCGGUUCCAAAUUGGGGUUUAAGCAACUAAGCAAGAACAGUCACUCCCAAAUUCUUUUUGGUCCACAACAGCAUUUAAAUUGGUCCCUGAAAUACCACUUCAGUAAUUUCUGAGUGCUCCAUAUUGACCAUGAAGGACUAUGAUGUCCCCAGAAAACUACGAAUCGGCACUUUCCAGGCACUAGUGAAGACUUUCCUGGUCACCCUAUCUAAAUUGCAACUUUUUCAAGACUAUUGAUUCUCCUGCCUUACUACAUUUUUUCUCCUCAACACUUAACACACUAUAACAUAAAUGUAAUGAGGAAUCUGACCCCAUUUUUUGAUGUCUGACUGCUGACAGGUUUUAAGUCUCACUCCUCCCUCUUUUCCUUGUGCCCAACAUGUGGGCAAGCUGAUAAAGUCUGGCUGCACCCUCCUUUGGCACCAGCAGGAGAUUUAAUCUAUGAAAGCCCCACCCACAUGCAGAAAUUUUCACCUGACUUGAACCCCUAACCCUUUGCCCACUCAAGCCCUUUCAGACUUGCUAGGAGAGUCUUGCCCUGCUCUCGCCAGGAACCUCAACUAGGUAAUAGAUCUUUUCAUAUCCUCUUUGUGCACCUGUAGCAUCAUUAGUCUCAAUAUCCCAACAAAAUUUUAGGUUGAGGGUUCAUCCCAAUUUUAGAGAGUAGCUAUACAACAGAAUAUAUUUCCUAACAUAUCUUCUUAUUCGUCUGUAUUUCACUUUAGAUUAUAAAUUCCAUGAGGGAACAUAUUCUGUGUUGUUCACUGCACCCAGAACAGUGAGUAGCAUAUAUAAGGAACUGAAUCAGCUGGGAUUGUGUAUUUGCAUGUGUGUACAUGUGUAUGUCAAUUAUUUCUUUCUUGGUACAGUAGGUACUCAUGGAGCAAAAAUGAUCACCCAAACCAUACACCUAUUUCUUUUGCAAUGAAAUAUAGUUUACAAACCUCCAAAUUAGAAGACAUUAUAGAAUUUUAUGCACCCCCACCAAAAAAUAUUGAAAGUCAAACAUACUUUAAGAACUAACGUAUAAUACCAAAUAGGAUAAACUUGGUAUCUACAUUAUUUAUUUAAGAAAUACUUGUUAGGCAUAACAUACAAGGCAGUACUAUAAGUACUAGGGAUCCCAUGUUAAGUAAGACAGAGAUAAGAGCCUUGAUUUUAUGAAACUUACUGACAUUUUAGCUGUCUUUCUCAUUUUCUUUUUUAAAAGUGAAGAUAUUAGAUUCUGUAUUUUACUACCUAAGAGCUCAUUUUUAAAUGUUAAAAAUUAGUACAUUGCUUAGUUUCCUAAAAAGUAAUAUUUGUUUUUAAUCAAUUAUCCAAUAUAAUCAAUUGGUGAGACAGAGUUAACACCAUUCACUACAACUACCUCUUUCCUGAACAUGCAAGAAGAAUGCAAUUCCUGCACUUAGGUUGAAGGCUGUAUGACUGGGUUCUGGUCGAUGAUAAAUUAAUUGUAAGCUAUUUCCACUCUUGGCUUUACAAUUUAGCCAUUCAAUACUCUUAGCCUUCUAGAGAGACCUCAAAAGCCAUUUAUUUUAGAUGAUUUCACAAUAAAGUACAAGCUAUCUGGGCCAAUUGAUCACCCUUUGGAGAGGAGCCAUUAACAAUAGCUCUCAUUAAUGACUGUCAGAUGAUCAAAAAAUCAAAGUUUACAGUGUUAAGGCUUUGAGAUGUAGAGGUUGAUUGUUACUGCAGCAGACUCUAGACUAGGCAGACAUGUCAGUAAAAUGAGAUAUUACUUCUCUGCUUCUUUCUAUACCUAAUACAAUUGUUGGCCAUGUCUCUUUAAUAAUGAUAUCUCUUGACAUCAGUAAUUACAUUGACCACUCACCACUUUAAAGAACAUUUUAAGAAUAAUUAGUGCAAAUAUUAAUGUAAAUUUCAAACUCUGCUCAUUUCAUGGCUGUGAUAUUAACAUAUUCAUUCAUUAUUGACUGGAUUGGCUGUUCAAUUUGAGUCGCUCGAAUGUUGAAUAUUUCCAAGAAGAAUUAAAGCCUGUUUGUAUUUUACUACUGUUACAUAGAGGUGAA
rnacentral:lncRNA from 10 species